CACCCAUCUAUAUCCUCUUAAAUGGUUCACUUACAACUAAUUCAAUCGAAUGCUAUUCAAUUUAUUGCAUGUUUUUUCUUGACUGUUUUUAUGUCAAACAUAGUUCCUCUCAAGUUCCCCUGUCAGAGGAAGCGCAGGUCAUGUGUAGAGUAAUCUGGUAUAGUUGCACAAGGCACUGCUUAACAGAUCACAACAGGUAAGGUAAUUACAGUAAACUGCAAACAGGUUUACUUCACAGCUUGUCUAUUAAACACAACCCCAAUAUAAGCCUUUUUGGGAUUACAAUUAAAAUAUAUGUAGUGCAUUAUAUGGAAAACACUGAGGGGUGGUUUCCUGGACAUGGAUUAGUUUAAGCCAGGACUAGACCUUAGUUUAAUGAGGAAAUAUAACUAGUUUUAACAAACAUGCCUUACUAAAACAAAGGGCACUGAUGUGUUUAAAGAUAUGUCAGUGUUAGUUGUUUUCAGUUUGGACAGCUUUUACAUUUAUUUUAGUCUAGGAAUAGUCUAAUCCCUGUCCGGGAAACCGCCCCUAGGUGUUUUGUUGAAAACAUGGGUGAAGAAAACCUUUUAUGCUAUUUCAGAGCAACAACUGACAUACUGAGCUGAAUAUCAUGUAUAUGCACAUGCAAACAUGUAUGUUAUUUUAUUCAUAUAUGUUUGUUAUACCUAUAUGUGAUUUUAAUACUUUAACAUACAUUUACAUUAGUUACAUGUAGUCAAAGUUGUAUUGAAGGUUGAUGAGUGACUUGCAGAGAGUCAUGCUUUUUUCCAGAAAGAAUGUGAAACAUAUAUGGUUACUGUAUAUAAGUUUUUUUUUUUAAAUAACAUAAUUUGAUUUUACAAACUUAAAGAAUUAUCAUGUGUCAAGUGUUUGGUAUCUACAGGUCAUGUGCAAUGCCAGAGUAAUCCGGUAUGGUUGCACAAGGCACUGCUUAACAGAUCACAACAGGUCAGUUAGCUGGCCACUUCUGAGAUAUGGUGGAUGUUGGAGAGCGUGAGCUGGGCUUCUUGAGCAGGAUACGUGUUUCUGCUCUGCAACCAAAGUUUCCCAAAAACUCCUGUGAUGAGGAUGAGGAUGAACAGAAGACCGCCCAGCACAAACGUCUCCACGGAGGGCAUAUCUGAACCUGAGGUGUGUGCACUUACAGGUUGGCACAUUCCUCCAGUGUUAUGACAGAUCUGGACGUUGCAGUGGAGGAAAACAUCUGUGUAAGACCUGCCAACAAACUUGAACAUCUGUAUCCUAAAAAAAGCUUCAGAUCCUUGACCGUUCUUCAUCACAGCCAGUGUCUGGUCAUUCCACAAGACCGGACAACUGAUUUAAAGAGAAAGAUAGGUGUAUGAUCAAACUCACCAUCUUCAACCUGAACAGCAGAAGUUAGUGUCCAUAUCGACAACAGACACCAGAUCAGCACAGUGACAGGUAUCAUCUUCUCUCCCCAAAUGUUUCCUCCAAAUCGUCUGGAUUAUGAG